rnacentral:rRNA from 1 species
AUUGAACGCUGGCGGCAGGCCUAACACAUGCAAGUCGAACGAGUGGCGGACGGGUGAGUAAUGUCUGGGAACCUGCCUGAUAGAGGGGGAUAACUCCUGGAAACGGUAGCUAAUACCGCCUACCAUCGUAUUUGCCCAUAGGGGCUUGGCAAGUAGGUGGGGUAAAGGCUCACCUAGGCGACGAUCCCUAGCUGGUCUGAGAGGAUGACCAGCCACACUGGAACUGAGACACGGUCCAGACUCCUACGGGAGGCAGCAGUGGUGAAUAUUGCACAAUGGGCGAAAGCCGGAUGCAGCCAUGCCGCGUGUAUGAAGAAGGCCUUCGGGUUGUAAAGUACUUUCAGCGGGGAGGCGGUACCCGCAGAAGAAGCACCGGCUAACUCCGUGCCAGCAGCGGCGGUAAUAC